AGUGAACGCUGGCGGUAGGCCUAACACAUGCAAGUCGAACGGCAACACAGUAAGAGCUUGCUCUUACGGGUGGCGAGUGGCGGACGGGAGAGGAAUACAUCGGAAUCUACUUUUUCGUGGGGGAUAACGUAGGGAAACUUACGCUAAUACAGCAUACGACCUACGGGUGAAAGCAGGGGAUCUUCGGACCUUGCGCGAUUGAAUGAGCCGAUGUCGGAUUAGCUAGUUGGCGGGGUAAAGGCCCACCAAGGCGACGAUCCGUAGCUGGUCUGAGAGGAUGAGCAGCCACACUGGAACUGAGACACGGUCCAGACUCCUACGGGAGGCAGCAGUGGGGAAUAUUGGACAAUGGGCGCAAGCCUGAUCCAGCCAUACCGCGUGGGUGAAGAAGGCCUUCGGGUUGUAAAGCCCUUUUGUUGGGAAAGAAAAGCAGCAGGUUAAUACCCCGCUGUUCUGACGGUACCCAAAGAAUAAGCACCGGCUAACUUCGUG
rnacentral:rRNA from 1 species